rnacentral:rRNA from 1 species
AGCAGCCGCGGUAAUUCCAGCUCCAAUAGCGUAUAUUAAAGUUGUUGCAGUUAAAAAGCUCGUAGUUGAAUUUCGGGAUUAGCAGGUCGGUCGUGCCAAUGGUAUGCACUGGCCUUGCUGAUUCCUCCCUCUUGAUGAGCCGUAAUGCCAUUAAUUUGGUGUUGCGGGGAAUCAGGGCUGUUACUUCGAAAAAAUUAGAGUGUUUAAAGCAGGCUCACGCUUGAAUACAUUAGCAUGGAAUAAUGAAAUAGGACGUUUGAUUCUAUUUUGUUGGUUUCUAGGAUCGACGUAAUGAUUAAUAGGGAUAGUUGGGGGCAUUAGUAUUCAAUUGUCAGAGGUGAAAUUCUUGGAUUUAUUGAAGACUAACUACUGCGAAAGCAUUUGCCAAGGAUGUUUUCAUUAAUCAAGAACGAAAGUUAGGGGAUCGAAGACGAUCAGAUACCGUCGUAGUCUUAACCAUAAACUAUGCCGACUAGGGAUCGGAUGAUGUUAACUUUA